UGCUGGCCAGUUGCACGUUGGCCCGGCCCGUCCCCUAGUUUCCGACCACAAGUCUUCCUUCUACCCUCAGGUGAAGGCUGUGCUAUAAAUCUUUCGUUGGGAAGCUGCUGCUUGACAGGCUUUGUCUCUCUGUGACUGGGGCAAGACAUCUACCAGAAGUUUCCUCUGAUUAGGAAGGCCCUCCAGGAGGAGUGGAUUAGACCUCUCCAAGAGAAAGCUGAGGCCAGCCGAGGUGGGCAGUCCUCCUCCAAAGCCCCCAGGAGUCCUUAUUUCAAAGGAAGAGUCUGUGUGCCCUGGGGCUGAUUUCCACCUUCAGUUCUCACUCCUGCAGCCUCUCCUGCUCUUCCUGAGAGAAGCAUCGCCUCCAGCAAGAGGAACCUGUGCCUCCCACAUCCUCACCUGGCUGAGCCGCAGUAGUUCUUCAGUGGCAAGCUUUAUGUCCUGACCCAGCUAAAGCUGCCAGUUGAAGAACUGUUGCCCUCUGCCCCUGGCUUCGAGGAGGAGGAGGAAGAGGAAGAAGAGGAGAAGGAGCUGCUUUCCCCCUCCUCUGGAAGGUGACAGAACUGGGGUUGGGAAGGUCUGAACAGCGAGAGUGAUGAUACCUUUUGGGGAAGGGAACCCUAUUCAGUUGGAGAACCUUGCCCCAGAUUGACCCAGCAAGAAAAGUUUCAGAUCAGAGACCCUGGCUGAAUUGAGGAAUAGAGGGCUCUGAGUACCCAAGUAUAGUUGGUCUUUGACAGUGGGAAGAAGUGGAGUAAAGAAAACCCUGCCUUCCCCUUUAUGCAGGAAGGAUCCCCUUUCCUGAUCCUCCUUCCUUCCUUGCCCCUCAUUCCUUCCUACUGGCCUUUCCAAGUUCAAAAGUAAGUUUCUUCUUCAGGGAAAAGGUCAUACUGAGUUGCCCAUCUGAGUAGUCAUCCCCCUGCUCUUAUCUGUUCCCUAUAUUUCCUUAGUCUGGCCCAGACUCUAAAUUCAGGGCUACUCACCUCCACAUGGGACCCUUAGGCCUCCUGUGUCAGUUUCUCCACCUGUGAAAUGGGGAAUCACACAAUUGAGUGUGCAUGAAGGAAUCAGAAGCCCACUUGUGUGGACUCAGAGCCUGGGCUGUCCUCUGCUGUGGGUGGGAACAGAACAGCUUUUCAUAUAAGCUGUUGCCCUUCCCCCACCCCUGACCAGAACCCCGGGAGCUGGGGCUGGAGGUUGAAGGGAGGAACUAGGGUUAGACCAAUGCCAGGAGCUGCUGGGAACUCAAGUCUUGGCAUUGACUUCCCACCAAGCAAAGGUGGCUCAGGCUUCCCCUGCCUCCCAGAGCAGGACCACAGCCCUGAUGGGUUUCCAGCUACCACUGCUGACUUCCCCCACUUACUCUUCAAGGACAGGGUGUGAGAUUCAGCUCAGGCCUGUGCAGGCAGGAAAUUCUCCUCUCUAGCAACCAGAAGAGAUGGGUUAUGAGAUGUGACCGCUUUAGGGGCAUCAGGCAGAAUAAACCUGCCACCCCCAGCUCCUGAUCUAAUCUCACCCUUGGGCUCAUGUUCUGGUGUGUUUCAGCCUUGGCCCAGUCUGUCUGCCUGAAGGUAAUCAAGUUCAGGGGUUAUUGGAAGCUGUUUGUUCUGUUUGGGAGCAGGAGUUGUGCAGGUAACUGGGUCCUGUUCUCCACUUUUGAGGAACAGUUUUAGGAGAGAGUAGCUCAUUGAACCCACCCUCUGCAGCCUAAGCUGGAUGUGAGUGGACUGCAAUAGAGGAGGGUGGGUAGACUUGAGUCCACUCACAGGCUGCAACAAAGGUUGCUCUGUCCCUGGACAUUGCUUCCAUCCUUUCUUCCCCUCCUCGCUUCACGGGCCACAGUGUCUUCAUCCAGCCUUGGGUACAUGGCUCUGCCAUCCUCACCCAUCAUGGAGCAGAAAUGAGGAAAAAAAGCCUGGAAACACAGAGGCAGACAGAAGACCAGUGAAGGACCAGGCCUGGAGGGCACAGGGCCCUGUCUGGACAUCCUGCAGAGGGGGGCCCAUAGGGGCCAGGAGCACCCCCAGGAGGAGGGAGGACAGCCACCCUCCACCGAGGACAAGCUUCCAGCCGUCUACUUCAUUCUCCAUUGCUCGCCAGUCUUUCUGCCUCCCUCAGAGAUGUGGGACCAUGUUGAAGCGUCCUUCGCUUCAUCCUCCUGCUUCCACCCCUCAUCACCAUGUAAUUUGUCUAUAAGCACCCUAGAGGAGCAAGAGCCAGCUGUGAAAGGACAUAUGCAGAAAAUUCAUGAAAGAAAUCCCGAUAGAUAAAACCAUGGGAAAAGGUGUGCUUUUUUAGUAAUUAAAGAAAGGCUGCUAUAGCUGGAAGCAUUUUUCCUGUAGCAAACUAUAAGAGAAAAAAUAAGACCCAGUUAUUGACAAAGGAGUACUAACACUCUCAUACAUUGCACACAGGUAUACAAAUGGGUAGUCUUACUGAUGUCAGUUUGGUAAUGUGUGCCAAACAUCCUAAAAGUUUCAUGGCCUUUGAUCUAGUAAUUCUACAUUUGGGAAUGUAUCCUAAGAAUAUAAUUAAAGAUUAGUUAUAAGAUGUUCAUCCCAGCAAUGCAGUAGGAAAAAUUGAGAACCAACUGUCCGGUUGGGAAUUCAUUUCUUUUUCUGCUGUAAUGAAAAUUUGCAAGAGAGGGUUGCUUGAGUAAAUUAUUAUGUAUCCACCCAGAUGGUGGAACACUGCGCAGCCAUUAAAAGUCAUGUAGGAGAGCAUUUGACUGGAAAGAAAAAUGCUCUCUGAAUAUUAAAAAGGUUAUAAAAUGGUGUGUAUUAUGUGAUCUCAAUUUUGCUUUUUUAAAUAUGGGUGUGUACUUUAUAAGAGUUAAAAGACUGCAGACAAAUUGUUAAUAAUAGUGGUUAUCUUUGGAUGAUGGAAUAAAGUCGUAAUUUUCCUGUUUGGUUUUCUGUAGUUGCCAGAUUUUCUCCAUUAAUCAUGUAUGGCUUUCAUAUAAUAAAUAAGAUUUAAAAGAA